rnacentral:rRNA from 1 species
GACGAACGCCUUAAAGGGGCUUAACACAUGCAAGUCGAACGGAAAGGCCCUGCUUUUGUGGGGUGCUCGAGUGGCGAACGGGUGAGUAACACGUGAGUAACCUGCCCUUGACUUUGGGAUAACUUCAGGAAACUGGGGCUAAUACCGGAUAGGAGCUCCUGCUGCAUGGUGGGGGUUGGAAAGUUUCGGCGGUUGGGGAUGGACUCGCGGCUUAUCAGCUUGUUGGUGGGGUAGUGGCUUACCAAGGCUUUGACGGGUAGCCGGCCUGAGAGGGUGACCGGCCACAUUGGGACUGAGAUACGGCCCAGACUCCUACGGGAGGCAGCAGUGGGGAAUAUUGCACAAUGGGCGGAAGCCUGAUGCAGCAACGCCGCGUGCGGGAUGACGGCCUUCGGGUUGUAAACCGCUUUCGCCUGUGACGAAGCGUGAGUGACGGUAAUGGGUAAAGAAGCACCGGCUAACUACGUGCCAGCAGCCGCGGUGAUACGUAGGGUGCGAGCGUUGUCCGGAUUUAUUGGGCGUAAAGGGCUCGUAGGUGGUUGAUCGCGUCGGAAGUGUAAUCUUGGGGCUUAACCCUGAGCGUGCUUUCGAUACGGGUUGACUUGAGGAAGGUAGGGGAGAAUGGAAUUCCUGGUGGAGCGGUGGAAUGCGCAGAUAUCAGGAGGAACACCAGUGGCGAAGGCGGUUCUCUGGGCCUUUCCUGACGCUGAGGAGCGAAAGCGUGGGGAGCGAACAGGCUUAGAUACCCUGGUAGUCCACGCUGUAAACGGUGGGUACUAGGUGUGGGGUCCAUUCCACGGGUUCCGUGCCGUAGCUAACGCUUUAAGUACCCCGCCUGGGGAGUACGGCCGCAAGGCUAAAACUCAAAGGAAUUGACGGGGCCCCGCACAAGCGGCGGAGCAUGCGGAUUAAUUCGAUGCAACGCGUAGAACCUUACCUGGGUUUGACAUGGAUCGGGAGUGCUCAGAGAUGGGUGUGCCUCUUUUGGGGUCGGUUCACAGGUGGUGCAUGGCUGUCGUCAGCUCGUGUCGUGAGAUGUUGGGUUAAGUCCCGCAACGAGCGCAACCCUUGUUCACUGUUGCCAGCACGUUAUGGUGGGGACUCAGUGGAGACCGCCGGGGUCAACUCGGAGGAAGGUGGGGAUGACGUCAAGUCAUCAUGCCCCUUAUGUCCAGGGCUUCACGCAUGCUACAAUGGCUGGUACAGAGAGUGGCGAGCCUGUGAGGGUGAGCGAAUCUCGGAAAGCCGGUCUCAGUUCGGAUUGGGGUCUGCAACUCGACCUCAUGAAGUCGGAGUCGCUAGUAAUCGAAGAUCAGCAACGCUGCGGUGAAUACGUUCCCGGGGCC